UACACGCUUAACUGUAAGUCCCUUUGGAUAAAAGUGUUUGCUAAAUGGCUAUUA
rfam:Salmo salar isolate Sally breed double haploid chromosome ssa03, whole genome shotgun sequence.